rnacentral:rRNA from 1 species
CAGUAGCCGCGGUAAUACGAAGGGGGCUAGCGUUGUUCGGAAUUACUGGGCGUAAAGGGUGCGUAGGCGGUUCAGCAAGUCUCGUGUGAAAUCUUCGGGCUCAACCCGAAGUCUGCACGGGAAACUACUGGGCUUGAGUAAUGGAGAGGUGAGUGGAAUUUCCGGUGUAGCGGUGAAAUGCGUAGAUAUCGGAAGGAACACCUGUGGCGAAAGCGGCUCACUGGACAUUUACUGACGCUGAUGCACGAAAGCUAGGGGAGCAAACAGGAUUAGAUACCCCGGUAGUCCCUGUCUCUUAUAC